rnacentral:rRNA from 1 species
AUCUAUAGCCAUACCACCCUGAACUUGCCUGACCUCUUCUGAUCUGAAGCUAAGCAGAUCAGACUGAUAGUACUGAUGUAGAGA